GGGGGGGGGGGGGGGGGGGCCGGAGGGGGGCAGGGCGGGCGGAUGGGGGGGGCUUGCUCCUGGAUUCAGCGGCGGGCGGGUGGGUAAUGCCUAGGAAUCUGCCUGGUAGUGGGGGAUAACGUCCGGAAACGGGCGCUAAUACCGCAUACGUCCUGAGGGAGAAAGUGGGGGAUCUUCGGACCUCACGCUCUCAGAUGAGCCUAGGUCGGAUUAGCUAGUUGGUGGGGUAAAGGCCUACCAAGGCGACGAUCCGUAACUGGUCUGAGAGGAUGAUCAGUCACACUGGAACUGAGACACGGUCCAGACGCCUACGGGAGGCAGCAGUGGGGAAUAUUGGACAAUGGGCGAAAGCCUGAUCCAGCCAUGCCGCGUGUGUGAAGAAGGUCUGCGGAUUGUAAAGCACUUUAAGUUGGGAGGAAGGGCAGUAAGUUAAUACCUUGCUGUUUUGACGUUACCAACAGAAUAAGCACCGGCUAACUUCGU
rnacentral:rRNA from 1 species